UGUGUCUUUCUCUCUCGUGGUCUACCCAAGACAACUGAACCCUGAUCUAUUCCCUCCCAACUCUCUACACAGCAUUUGAUAUAAAAUCUUAAAUGUGUCUCUCUCCCCUGAGGACCUCAAUUCCCAGAGGGCAGAGAGUCUGCCUUUUGAUAUUCUUUCCACUCCUAACAACUUCUGGCAAAGAGAUUUGCUAAUAAGACCUGACCGUGGUGGUUAAUUGUCAUUGUCAACAGGACUGGGUUUGGAAUCACCAGGCAACACACCUGUUAACCAGGUCUGUGAGACUGUUUCUAAGAAGUUCAAUGUGAAGAAGGCUGACGUGACUAUGGAUGACGCCAUCCUGUAAGCUGGGAUAAAAAUGGAAAAAAGAAGCAGAAGAUGGCUCCAGCAUCCUUUUCUCUGCUUGCUGGCUGCACAUGCGAGUGUGACCAAGAACGGGACAUUUCUGUCAUUUAUUCUUCACUGACGGGCUGUGUUCCCAAUGAGCUCUUUCUUCUCUAAGUGGCUUUUAUCAAUCAUUUUGUGACAACUACAAGAAGAGUAACACACUAUCAGAAACACGUGCCUGCUGUCUGACGAUGUAGAACUCUCAGCUCCUCCAGAACCAUGUCUACCUGAGUGCAGCCACGCUUCCCACCAUGCUGAUAAUGGACCAAACCCCUGAAACUGUAAGCCAGCCCCAGUUGACGCGGUCAUAGUGUCCCUUCAUGUCACUAGAACACUGGCUAAGGCAUGUGGCAAUCCCGUUUGUGCAGAUGUGACUUUCCAUACCUGAAAUCUAUUAAACAGGAAGUUCCAGAGGUAAAUAAUGCAUGUCCUAACGCACGUGCUGUUCAGAGUAGCAGUGGUGAGGUCUCACACCAUCCUGUUCACGCCAGUGAGCUUCUGUCUGCGUGCGUUCUGUGCACCUGUACUGUACAUGUGUGGGGCAGACAGAGUAGGUGGAAGUUACGGGCAUCCAGGGCAGGGGGCAUUGGGACUUACUCUUUAUGGAUAAAGGAGAACAACUGUACUUGUCGGUAAUAAAUUUCCAGUCCUCUUUGGUAA